rnacentral:rRNA from 1 species
CGAACGGGUGAGUAAUACAUCGGAACGUGUCCUUGAGUGGGGGAUAACCCGGCGAAAGCCGGGCUAAUACCGCAUAUGCUCUGUGGAGGAAAGCGGGGGACCCGGUAACGGGCCUCGCGCUCGGGGAGCGGCCGAUGUCCGAUUAGGUAGUUGGUGGGGUAAUGGCCCACCAAGCCGGCGAUCGGUAGCUGGUCUGAGAGGAUGAUCAGCCACACUGGGACUGAGACACGGCCCAG